CCGGCGAAACUUGUACAAUUGCAAAUGACAAUCGUGCUCCGAUGGCAGUCGCAGCGUAAGCUGUUCCUAACAUCGAAAAUUAAGCCCUUACGCCUAGCCGCGUAAGGCGGGGCCCGCCGGAGCCUGGCAACAGAAU
rnacentral:sRNA from 1 species